AUUGAACGCUGGCGGCAGGCUUAACACAUGCAAGUCGAGCGAGCGGCGGACGGGUGAGUAAGGUCUGGGAAACUGCCUGAUGGAGGGGGAUAACUAAUGGAAACGGUAGCUAAUACCGCAUACCAUCAGAUGUGACGAGUUGUGAUUAGCUAGUAGGUGGGGUAAUGGCUCACCUAGUAGACGAUCCCUAGCUGGUAUGAGAGGAUGACCAGCCACACUGGAACUGAGACACGGUCCGGACGCCUACGGGAGGCAGCAGUGGGGAAUAUUGCACAAUGGGCGCAAGCCUGAUGCAGCCAUGCCGCGUGUAUGAAGAAGGCCUUCGGGUUGUAAAGUACUUUCAGUCGGGAGGCGUUACCGACAGAAGAAGCACCGGCUAACUCCGUGCCAGCAGCCGCGGUAAUAC
rnacentral:rRNA from 1 species